CGAGUUCUGAUUAUUGAAAGGUGCUUGCAUCUUGAUUUAAUUUUGAACGAGUGGCGGACGGGUGAGUAACACGUGGGUAACCUGCCCUUAAGUGGGGGAUAACAUUUGGAAACAGAUGCUAAUACCGCAUAAAUCCAAGAACCGCAUGGUUCUUGGCUGAAAGAUGGCGUAAGCUAUCGCUUUUGGAUGGACCCGCGGCGUAUUAGCUAGUUGGUGAGGUAACGGCUCACCAAGGCAAUGAUACGUAGCCGAACUGAGAGGUUGAUCGGCCACAUUGGGACUGAGACACGGCCCAAACUCCUACGGGAGGCAGCAGUAGGGAAUCUUCCACAAUGGACGCAAGUCUGAUGGAGCAACGCCGCGUGAGUGAAGAAGGCUUUCGGGUCGUAAAACUCUGUUGUUGGAGAAGAAUGGUCGGCAGAGUAACUGUUGUCGGCGUGACGGUAUCCAACCAGAAAGCCACGGCUAACUACGUGCCAGCAGCCGCGGUAAUACGUAGGUGGCAAGCGUUAUCCGGAUUUAUUGGGCGUAAAGCGAGCGCAGGCGGUUUUUUAAGUCUGAUGUGAAAGCCCUCGGCUUAACCGAGGAAGUGCAUCGGAAACUGGGAAACUUGAGUGCAGAAGAGGACAGUGGAACUCCAUGUGUAGCGGUGAAAUGCGUAGAUAUAUGGAAGAACACCAGUGGCGAAGGCGGCUGUCUGGUCUGUAACUGACGCUGAGGCUCGAAAGCAUGGGUAGCGAACAGGAUUAGAUACCCUGGUAGUCCAUGCCGUAAACGAUGAAUGCUAGGUGUUGGAGGGUUUCCGCCCUUCAGUGCCGCAGCUAACGCAUUAAGCAUUCCGCCUGGGGAGUACGACCGCAAGGUUGAAACUCAAAGGAAUUGACGGGGGCCCGCACAAGCGGUGGAGCAUGUGGUUUAAUUCGAAGCAACGCGAAGAACCUUACCAGGUCUUGACAUCUUUUGAUCACCUGAGAGAUCAGGUUUCCCCUUCGGGGGCAAAAUGACAGGUGGUGCAUGGUUGUCGUCAGCUCGUGUCGUGAGAUGUUGGGUUAAGUCCCGCAACGAGCGCAACCCUUAUGACUAGUUGCCAGCAUUUAGUUGGGCACUCUAGUAAGACUGCCGGUGACAAACCGGAGGAAGGUGGGGAUGACGUCAAAUCAUCAUGCCCCUUAUGACCUGGGCUACACACGUGCUACAAUGGAUGGUACAACGAGUUGCGAGACCGCGAGGUCAAGCUAAUCUCUUAAAGCCAUUCUCAGUUCGGACUGUAGGCUGCAACUCGCCUACACGAAGUCGGAAUCGCUAGUAAUCGCGGAUCAGCACGCCGCGGUGAAUACGUUCCCGGGCCUUGUACACACCGCCCGUCACACCAUGAGAGUUUGUAACACCCGAAGCCGGUGGCGU
rnacentral:rRNA from 2 species